GGGUGGGGUGCAGUGAGGGUGGGUCUCCCCUCUUCAAUUCCUCCUAUUGUUCCCCAGAAGUCUUAUCUGGGCCCUACGUCCUGUCACCCUCCCCUUACGGAUCCCUCCCCCCAUUGUCGGCCUGGGGGACCUCAGGCCCACAGGGAGUCUCCAGCCUCUCCUCACCCUCCCACCCCAGCAGUCUAUUGUCUGCUGAGGAAGUCCAAGUGCACGUGACCAAGCCCAGGGGACAGACGGACAGUGGACACACGGAUGCGCAAAGACCCAGGCGGGGCAUCUGGACGUGGAUCUCUGCACGCCCGGCUCUCUCUGUUCCAGAGGUUGGGAGGGGUGACGAUCCCCAUAGGUUCCCCACUCGACGCUGAGGUUUGAAGAACCUCUCCUGCUCAGUAUGACGUGACUGAUGGCCUCACAGACGGCAAAGACAAGGAGAUCUGGAGCCAGGAAGGGGCCACAGCGCCCAGGACCCUCUGCACCGUCCCAUCCUCCCUCGGCGGAGUGAGGAGUCCUCGUGAGGAAAGGGUCUCCCCGGACGUAUCUGUGGCCAUCGGAUGGAAACCCACGGACUUCCGCGACUGCCCUGCAGAACUCUUGUUUGCAGGUAAACUGAGUUGGAGGUACCGCGCUACUGAGGGCCCCCAAAGACCCCCCCGAAUCCACCGUAAUCCCCACUUUCUUACCCCAUCCUGCCCGGGUACGGCGCAUGCGCGGAGCAUGCCCCCCAUGACCCCCAGUAUCCGGUCAGUGCGGCCAGGGGCGGGGCGGUCCGGGGGCUUCAUGCUGGACCCCUACCCUGCUCCAAGUUUCAGGGCCGAGGGGGCACGGAAGCUGGGGGGCUCUGAGGCCUGCGCGCGUCCGGGGAGUUGCUGCUGCCGAAUCCGCCCCCUGCCCGGCUCCGCCCCUGCUCCCACCCCAGCCAAACUUUGCAAAAGGGGUAGGGUUGUUCCUCUCUCUACAACCAUAGCUCAACAACAAACAAACCCCUCUUGAUCCUGAUUCCAAUAUCGAAGCGCGUGACAGGGCUUCGCAGCGUUGCUACAGAGCCCACAGCGCGCAUUGCGUUUCUGCAGCUCCUCCCCAAGCAGAGGCAGCCAGAAAGGCUCACCGGGGUUCCCAGACACCCCCCCCCCCGCCCCUUCCCCGCAAGCCCCACUCCCCCAUCCUGCCCCCACCCUUGCAGGGAACACAACGGGUGUGGCAUAGAGAGUUGCAUAUUUUACUUUAUUUUUAUUAAAUUAAAAGCUACAGUCUGGCGGCGAUUCCAGAAGGGGGUAAGGAGGUUCCUUAUAGGGGGCAGAGAAGAGCGAGGGAAAGACAGACUGACAGAGACAGACACAGGAGAGAAAGGACAAGAUUAGGGUGGGAGAACUGUAUCUGAUGAACACACACACACACACACACACACACACACACAGAGCCGGCUCCAUGGGGGGCUCACAUCAGCCCAAUUCCUCCUCCCCCACAAGGAAGUUCAGCAGUGAAGCAGUAUGGGGGGUAGGGAUUCCAGGGACCCCCCCUGCCCCUCCCCACCCCAGUCCUUUCUCAGUUUAGUCACUGGAGCACAGCACAUACCAGGAAAAGCCAAGGGCACUGGAGGGCCUAGGA